rnacentral:rRNA from 1 species
AUACCGCAUACGUCCUACGGGAGAAAGCAGGGGACCUUCGGGCCUUGCGCUAUCAGAUGAGCCUAGGUCGGAUUAGCUAGUUGGUGAGGUAAUGGCUCACCAAGGCGACGAUCCGUAACUGGUCUGAGAGGAUGAUCAGUCACACUGGAACUGAGACACGGUCCAGACUCCUACGGGAGGCAGCAGUGGGGAAUAUUGGACAAUGGGCGAAAGCCUGAUCCAGCCAUGCCGCGUGUGUGAAGAAGGUCUUCGGAUUGUAAAGCACUUUAAGUUGGGAGGAAGGGCAGUUACCUAAUACGUGAUUGUUUUGACGUUACCGACAGAAUAAGCACCGGCUAACUCUGUGCCAGCAGCCGCGGUAAUACAGAGGGUGCAAGCGUUAAUCGGAAUUACUGGGCGUAAAGCGCGCGUAGGUGGUUAGUUAAGUUGGAUGUGAAAUCCCCGGGCUCAACCUGGGAACUGCAUUCAAAACUGCACUGACUAGAGUAUGGUAGAGGGUGGUGGAAUUCUCCUGUGUAGCGGUGAAAUGCGUAGAUAUAGGAAGGAACACCAGUGGCGAAGGCGACCACCUGGACUGAUACUGACACUGAGGUGCGAAAGCGUGGGGAGC